GCCGAUUUAGUUUAGUGGUAAAACAUAUGCAUGGUAAGCAUAAAAGGACUGUUCAAUUCAGUCAUUCGGCACCA
rnacentral:tRNA from 1 species